rnacentral:rRNA from 1 species
UACGUAGGGACCGAGCGUUGUCCGGAUUCAUUGGGCGUAAAGAGCUCGUAGGCGGCUGUUCAAGUCGAACGUGAAAACUCGGAGCUCAACUCCGAGCCUGCGUUCGAUACUGGACGGCUAGAGUCUGGUAGGGGGAUCUGGAAUUCCUGGUGUAGCGGUGGAAUGCGCAGAUAUCAGGAGGAACACCGAUUGCGAAGGCAGCUCGCUGGGACGUUACUGACGCUGAGACGCGAAAGCGUGGGAGCAACAGG